CAGCCGCCACGGUAAUACGAAGGGUGCAAGCGUUACUCGGAAUUACUGGGCGUAAAGCGUGCGUAGGUGGUGGUUUAAGUCCGUUGUGAAAGCCCUGGGCUCAACCUGGGAAUUGCAGUGGAUACUGGGUCACUAGAGUGUGGUAGAGGAUAGUGGAAUUUCCGGUGUAGCGGUGAAAUGCGUAGAGAUCUGGAGGAAUACCGAUGGCGAAGGCAGCCAUCUGGCCUAAUACUGACGCUGAGGUACGAAAGCAUGGGGAGCAAACAGGAUUAGAUACCCCCGUAGUCCCUGUCUCUUAUAC
rnacentral:rRNA from 1 species